rnacentral:lncRNA from 1 species
UCCGGGAUGAUCUGCGGCGUGCCUCUCUGCCCUAGGAAAAUAUUCAUUUCCCUUCGAGUAUUACAGGAUCAAUCGCUUUGACAUUUUCUCGUCUCAUGACAGUGACACGUGUGCUCGUUGACCCAGGAAUUGAUUCGAUUUGAGCUCGGUAGCACAAAACAUCAUGCGCUUGGAUGAUUCUCGGGACACUCACUGGGUAUGAUAUGAUAUCCCCGAAACACGUAGGGUCUACGGGAGAUAGCACUCAGAGCUUAUCAUAUUCGAGAAGAACAGGAGAUGGUGGGGCAAACAUAGUGCUACGGUGCCCACAAAAGCCACACAGACUGGGCAAAUGAAUUGUUCGUAUAUCACGGCGUUCUAUACAUCCUGGAUGUCCGUACCUAGGUAAAUGCCGGAUCCAAGUGUCCACCACACAAUUGCCGUGGACUGUAGAGUCGAAAACAUGAAAUACUGCUGUCAAGCAUAGCCCUUUUGGACAAUAAUAUGAUUGACUCCGAUUUAACUUGCUGUUGGUCAGACUGGAAUCCGAUUUAUGAGCCCUAUGAGACUGACCGCCGUAAACACGAGUCAUUUCCACAUGGAUUCCACCUGGCACCUACCUAUAAUAGAAUGACUAUUUCAUACCGCUACAUAGCUAUCUACACGCUUGCAUAAGGUCUUGAACCGACUUUGCCGAUCUUUCGAGUUUCUUCACAGGUCGAUUCCACCUAGCGCAAUAUCUAGGCAACGAACACUCUCC